CUCUCGCACAUCUCCGUUCUCUUUGCCGGCUGUGGCGGCGAUCCAGAUCCGGCGGGAGGCCGCCGCCGUGCGUGGCCCCUCCCCUAACUACUCCGCCACCCAGGCCGUCUGGAUCCACCUCCGGGCACCCCGACGUCGCGCUCCACAUCAUCGUCUCGGCCACAUCCAGCUCUGCCACGGUCUGCUCCACAGGAGCACCACCCGACCUUCACCGUGCUGGACUAUAUGACGGGUUGGUGACUGGUCGGAAGUCCCACAUCACGGACGUGUUCGCGAUGACGCAGAUCGACGGCUGCAUGUGCCAGGUCCUCGAUCACCAUGAUGGAUGAUGCUUUAACAACCAGAAGCAUCAGGAGUACAUAUGGAGAGAAGAAGCGCUUAGCAUAGGCUUCCCUUGCUUACAAUUGCAGGAGCAAAACUCAUUUGUCUGCAUGAUAAUUUAAAUCCUUUGUUGUCGGUCAUGUGCUAUAAAUGGUCCUGUCAUGUUAAUCAGGCCAUGUAUAUGGAUCAGAGUGGACAAGGUAUAGAAUACCUUGUGAAAUUCAUUUUCGCCAUCCUAUUGAGAUGUGGGUGUUUAUUA